CUUUAAUUUCAGUAGAGUUGACCUGAGUCGUCAUCUUCCAAUUCUGAAUCUGAUUUGACCAUCAAUGUCAGAAUUUCCUCAAUGGACAUCUGCGACUAACUGUCUCCUCCAUCUUCAUUAACAAUUACCCACUCGAGGAAUUUUCCAUCGCAACUAGUGCGUUCCUUACAAUUUUGUUUUCCUAUUGAGUUAUCAUUCUAUUUUGAGGAACUUGAUCCUUUCUCUCAAUCUAUUCCUUUUCAACUUAGUUUCUCUAGCUGGACACUACUUAAUAAAGUGAUCAACACUAUCAGACCUAUGACAUAUACUUCAAUAUUCCCUUUUUUAGGUGCUUUGGAUUUAGAGGAACUACUUCUAUUAAGAAAGCCUUCUUUCUUAAUCAUACAUUGAAAUCUGAGUUAGCAGUGACAAUUUUAAUUCAUCAAAUUUCUUAUUUGAGCAGUCUUAAGGGACAACAUCUUUGCGUGGAGCAACAUCCUUCUGAUUUUGAAGCUUCUUCAUCUUAUAGAGAACAAAUUGAAGCACCAAAACGAUCCAGUCAAAAUGUAGAAAUUGAGGAAAGUUGCCCAUACAAGUUUUAACAAGACGGUCCCAAAAUCUCCAAAUAAGAAAAAAUUGAUGAAUCGGGACGACCACGUCAUCCAAAGUUUGCAGGUAUAUUUUUUCAGCUUUAUACAUUGCUAUAUAUAUAUAUAUGUUACCUUCAAUUGGGUUUGACGCACAAACUCAGCGAUUAUACUGUGCAACAUUACUUUGAAAUUACGGAGUCAUCAAGGCAUCAGAAUGAUAUACAAGUGACAAUGAUGAUCCUUCGCGAUCAAGACCAAGUUUUAUUCAACCAAUUGAUGAAACAACAAUAGUUAGUUUAGAAUAGCCAAAUUUUUAACUUUCUAGAUGAACACAAUUACUAACUUGUUUUAAUAAUGGAUGUUAAAGACUUAUAGCACUUGUUAGAUUUCUAAUGUUGGUUUGGAUUUGAUUUUUUUUUUUGAUAUGUCUUAAGGAUGCUUAACUAUCUUCUUCUUUAAUCUAUUGAUAAUUAUUUUUUUUUA